GCUUCCGGAGCUAACGCGUUAAAUCGACCGCCUGGGGAGUACGGCCGCAAGGUUAAAACUCAAAUGAAUUGACGGGGGCCCGCACAAGCGGUGGAGCAUGUGGUUUAAUUCGAUGCAACGCGAAGAACCUUACCUGGUCUUGACAUCCACAGAACUUUCCAGAGAUGGAUUGGUGCCUUCGGGAACUGUGAGACAGGUGCUGCAUGGCUGUCGUCAGCUCGUGUUGUGAAAUGUUGGGUUAAGUCCCGCAACGAGCGCAACCCUUAUCCUUUGUUGCCAGCGGUUAGGCCGGGAACUCAAAGGAGACUGCCAGUGAUAAACUGGAGGAAGGUGGGGAUGACGUCAAGUCAUCAUGGCCCUUACGACCAGGGCUACACACGUGCUACAAUGGCAUAUACAAAGAGAAGCGACCUCGCGAGAGCAAGCGGACCUCAUAAAGUAUGUCGUAGUCCGG
rnacentral:rRNA from 1 species